GGUUAAAUUAUAUAAUAUUCGCUAUAAUAAUAUUAAAAUUAUGAAGACAUAACACUGUAGCGUUGUUACUGUACCAAAAAAUACAAAAAUUCAAAGAUGACGUUUUACGUAUUUUCACUUACCCAUCCAGUACAGGGCAUAGUUUUUUGUUUUUUUUUUUCAUCCAUGUAUCCAAUAUUAGACUAGCAGACAGUCUGAUAGCCUCUUUAUUUUAAGUUGUUAUAGUGGCCAUGGCAUUUGUAUUUCUGUUUAUGAUUUUUUUUUAAUUUUUUUAAUUUCAUCUGUGUUACUAAGAUAAUCGAAAAAUCAUUUAGUGUUCGUACCUAAAAUCCUUAAAAAUACUUUCAUCUCCUAUUUCAUCCCCUUCGAAUUUUAUCUUCGUAACGAAAAUAUCUCUAUACCAAAAUUCAUCAAAAUUGGUUCAGUGGCGUGAAAACAUAACAGACUGGUUUACUUUCAUUAUUUAAAAUAUAGUCUA